CUGGGCGUAAAGCGUGCGCAGGCGGAUUGUUAAGCAAGACGUGAAAGCCCCGGGCUUAACCUGGGAAUGGCGUUUUGAACUGGCAGUCUAGAGUGCGUCAGAGGGGGGUGGAAUUCCACGUGUAGCAGUGAAAUGCGUAGAGAUGUGGAGGAACACCAAUGGCGAAGGCAGCCCCCUGGGAUGACACUGACGCUCAUGUACGAAAGCGUGGGUAGCAAACAGGAUUAGAUACCCUGGUAGUCCACGCCCUAAACGAUGUCAACUGGUUGUUGGGGGAGUGAAAUCCCUUAGUAACGAAGCUAACGCGUGAAGUUGACCGCCUGGGGGGUACGGUCGCAAGAUUAAAACUCAAAGGAAUUGACGGGGACCCGCACAAGCGGUGGAUGAUGUGGAUUAAUUCGAUGCAACGCGAAAAACCUUACCUACCCUUGACAUGUCCAGGAUCCUGCAGAGAUGCGGGAGUGCCCGAAAGGGAAUUGGAACACAGGUGCUGCAUGGCUGUCGUCAGCUCGUGUCGUGAGAUGUUGGGUUAAGUCCCGCAACGAGCGCAACCCUUAUCAUUAGUUGCUACGCAAGGGCACUCUAAUGAGACUGCCGGUGACAAACCGGAGGAAGGUGGGGAUGACGUCAAGUCCUCAUGGCCCUUAUGGGUAGGGCUUCACACGUCAUACAAUGGUCGGUACAGAGGGUUGCCAAGCCGCGAGGUGGAGCCAAUCCCAGAAAGCCGAUCGUAGUCCGGAUUGUUCUCUGCAACUCGAGAGCAUGAAGUCGGAAUCGCUAGUAAUCGCGGAUCAGCAUGUCGCGGUGAAUACG
rnacentral:rRNA from 1 species